GAUGAACGCUGGCGGCGUGCCUAAUACAUGCAAGUCGAGCGAACGGACGAGAAGCUUGCUUCUCUGAUGUUAGCGGCGGACGGGGGAGUAACACGUGGAUAACCUACCUAUAAGACUGGGAUAACUUCGGGAAACCGGAGCUAAUACCGGAAAAUAUUUUGAACCGCAGGGUUCAAAAGUGAAAGACGGUCUUGCUGUCACUUAUAGAUGAAUCCGCGCUGCAUUAGCUAGUUGGUAAGGUAACGGCUUACCAAGGCAACGAUGCAUAGCCGACCUGAGAGGGUGAUCGGCCACACUGGAACUGAGACACGGUCCAGACUCCUACGGGAGGCAGCAGUAGGGAAUCUUCCGCAAAGGGCGAAAGCCUGACGGAGCAACGCCGCGUGAGUGAUGAAGGUCUUCGGAUCGUAAAACUCUGUUAUUAGGGAAGAACAUAUGUGUAAGUAACUGUGCACAUCUUGACGGUACCUAAUCAGAAAGCCACGGCUAACUACGUG
rnacentral:rRNA from 1 species